CGGCGUGCCUAACACAUGCAAGUCGAGCGAUGAAGCUCCUUCGGGAGUGGAUUAGCGGGCGGACGGGUGAGUAACACGUGGGCAACCUGCCCUCAGCUUUGGGAUAACUCCGGAAACCGGGGCUAAUACCGGAUACGACCAUUCCCGCAUGGGGUGGUGGUGGAAAGUUUUUCGGCUGGGGAUGGGCCCGCGGCCUAUCAGCUUGUUGGUGGGGUGAUGGCCGUACCAAGGCGUCGACGGGUAGCCGGCCUGAGAGGGCGACCGGCCACACUGGGACUGAGACACGGCCCAGACUCCUACGGGAGGCAGCAGUGGGGAAGUAUUGCGCAAUGGGCGAAAGCCUGACGCAGCGACGCCGCGUGAGGGAUGACGGCCUUCGGGUUGUAAACCUCUUUCAGCUCCGACGAAUUCAGACGGUAGGAGCAGAAGAAGCACCGGCCAACUACGUG
rnacentral:rRNA from 1 species